AUUGAACGCUGGCGGCGUGGCUAAAGCAUGCAAGUCGUACGAACCCGCAAGGGUGAGUGGCGGACGGGUCAGUAACACGAUUGAACGUACCCUGAGGUGGGGGAUAGCGGCGGGAAACUGCCGGUAAUACCCCAUGAUCUCUCCGGAGCAAAGGGAAACCGCCUUGGGAUCGGCAAUCGUCCUAUCAGGUAGUUGGCGGGGUAACGGCCCACCAAGCCUAUGACGGGUAGCAGGUGUGAGAGCACGACCUGCGACAUCGGGACUGAGACACUGCCCGGACUCCUACGGGAGGCUGCAGCGACGAAUCUUCCGCAAUGGGCGCAAGCCUGACGGAGCGACGCCGCGUGUGGGAUGAAGCGCCUCUGGCGUGUAAACCACUGUCAGGAAAAUAGAAUCAAUGAUCGUUUCCAGAGGAAGGGGCGACUAAACUCUGUGCCAGCAGCCGCAGUAAC
rnacentral:rRNA from 1 species